GGCCGGCGCGGCCUCGGAAGCGGCCGCCGCUGCAGCCGCCGCCGCGGCCGCUCUUUCCUUAGGGCCCUCUUCCAGACGCUUCCUGGAAUAUUCAAGCAGCUCCCUUGGCAGGGUCCAGGGUCCGCGGAGGAGCCAGGAUGGGGGCAGCAGCAGCAGGGUGCAUCAUGGUGAACCGAAAACAGCAGCAGGUGCAGCGACACAGGGUCCGCGAAGGAGCCAGGAGGGGGGCAGCAGUAGCAAGGGGCAUCAUGGCGAGCAGAGACCAGCGGCCGAUGCAGUGACCCAGGAGGGCAAGGGUGGAGCGUACAGCGUCCUCCAGAAGAGGAGAAACCUUGAACAGCGAGUCUUGUAAGAUAUGUACCUUUGCUCAAGAGUUGAAGAUAGAAUAGAGCAUGACUGAUAUUUUGUCUUGUUUGACAUGCAUAAGAUUGGUCAGGUCAAGAAUAGUUUGGAUGAGUGAGACUCCUGGCAAGCACUGGAAUCUCUUAAUGACAGCACUCAUUGCCGCCGAGAGCCAUGUCACUGUCACUCGAUAUUUGUAGUCAGCGACAGGCACAAGGCCAAUGACGCCUGAAUGCGAGACUUUGAACCUGUCAACCAACACCAACAAAUGGUUGUCUGGUGGAUCAUUGCCUUUUAUUUCUUAUAAAAAUUUGGAACAGCAACCUGUUGAGGAGUUUGUUGGAUGGGUGAAUGAGCAGGAGUGGAUGUUUUAGGGUGACUGAUCAGCAGUAUGGCUCAGUGGAACUGAUCUGAGUGGUAUUACCCGUCACAGAGAGGCCUGACACAAUUGGAUGACCAUUUUAUUUGAUCAUGCAAUUGGCUUGUGGGCGAUGCCAAUUUUGCAAGCCGCCUGCAGUAAAGAUAUGAUGCAAGUCUUGCCAUGAAGCUAAAGUUUUGAUCAAACGACUCGGAGCUCGGAGGUCUUUACCUCAUCUUUGUGGCCGGUGCAAACACGGUGGUCACUCAGGCUACCUCUUUAUCACUGUAAAUUGCUCAUGUGAGCACAUUGUGCAGGCCACCAUCUGACAUCAUGAUCAUAAUCAUAACG
rnacentral:lncRNA from 1 species